rnacentral:lncRNA from 10 species
GAAUGAGUCUCAUGAAAUCUGAUGGUUUUAAAAACAGGAGUUUCCCUGAACAAGCUCUCUUUGCCUGCUGCCAUCCAUGUAAGACGUGACUUAUUCCUCCUUGCCUUCCGCCAUGAUUGUGAGGCCUCCCCAGCCAUUCAGAACUGUAAGUUCAUUAAACUUCUUUUUCUUCCCAGUCUCAGGUGUGUCGUUAUCAGCAGCAUGAAAACAGACUAAUACAUGUCAUUUCCCUGUAAUGAUCCUUAACUGUGAGGACGAUUAUAUAUUGAAACCUGAGUCAUUCUAGAAAAUCAUUGAAUAUGUGGUGGUCGUGGGGACCUCCAAAAAAGUCGUGAUGUAUUAUUUUUAAUGUGCUACUGGAUUGUGUUUGCUAAUAUUUUAUUUUCUUUAUCAAUAUUCUUAACUUCAAUUCCCCUUUAUCAAACUUUUACUGAAAGCUUUUCCAACAUUCACAUUGUUCUAGAUAUCUUGACAUAUAGCAACUUCUGUACUCUUUUGAGGAAUUCAUGACAACCUCUUUUACAGGUGAGAAUACUGUUGCCCACAGAGGUGGAGUGACUCACACAAAGUUCUAUAGCUACUGACUGUAUAGCAGAGAGGGGAGCCAGGGCUGUCUGCCUCCCAGUUAGGGUGACCAUUCUGGUUUGCCCUGGAUUGAGGGGUUUUCUCCAGGCUGAGGGGUUUCCUGGGACAUGGGACUUUGAGUACUAAAACAGAGAUAGUCCUGGACAAAUCAGGACUGUUGGUCACCCUACUUAAGUCUACAGCUUUUAAAAAAAAUACUUUAUCCAAGUGGAUGCUUCUAUUUUCAUGAAAGAAAGCUUGUCCCCAUUAGGAUUUGGGCAUAUUUAGACACAAAUUGGAAGUGCCAGACACCUGGUCUUUCAAGGAGAACAAUUUCCAAAUUCCUUUUCUGAGUGCCAUACAUUCUGCAUCUCCCAACCUAGUUUGCUUUGUGCUUGGCUCUUUGCUCUUCUCCACCAAGCCCCCCCUCCCCCCGCUCUGCCCACCACAUUUUUCAACAUUACUGGUUUUAAUUUCCUUUACCAUCCCCGUUGCAAAAACUUCUUUCCUGAUUUAAUUACUAUUUCUCUUAAUUCAAUUUUAUGCUCUUGAUUGUCGUUAAACUCCUAAAGUUGUUUCUCCAAAGAAUUUAAUGGCUAGGCCUUGUGCUUAGAGAUUAAUUGUUGUCAUUUUGCUUUCAAGCACAGGUACUUUCUUACUUCUCUUCAGUUAUCUUUGGGAGAAAGGAAAGUGACCAUCCUUCUUCCCAGGGCUGCUCUGAGAACAAACACUGCCGGGGGCUGCCUUUUGAGAGAGAGAGAAAGCCAGACCUCUUAAAUUUGUCUUCCACCUUCUACUGACUCUAAUCUCAGCAUCUGUGAAUAGCCAGAGAACCUCUGGCUCCUCAGGUGGGCUCAGGCCAUGAACGGAUUGUAGGGAGGGCUCUAAAAACAGCAGCCCAGGCUUGAGAUAGGGUGGCUUUCUGCCAGGAGGGAUUUGCACAGUGAAGAGGGGGAACAAGGGCUGGCUCUAGCCUCAAACAUCCUGCCUGGCCAAGGUCCCCCAGAGGAACUAAGCCUGUGACUCAAAGGAAAAAGGAAUACUUUUGGUUAGAAUUUCCCUUCCCUGGAAUGUCCCUCUUGGGGAUAAACCUACUCCUGAGCAUCUUUCUCACGUUCACUGUACAGUAGCUAAAAGGCUUUGACCUUUGAGUCUUCUCCCUGCAGCCCACAAACUCUUGAUUUUCCCACCUCUGUCACCCCUGGAUCUCCUGUUUUCCUGUGCAGAUCCUUGACAAACAGUGGCCAGAGGUAGAGGAAUGAUUUCAGGCUGGAGCUCUGGCAAGCUCCCUUUACAAUCCAGUUGUGUAACUCUGCCCCUGUGUGGGUGAAGCAACCCUGAAAGGUAGAAAGCACAGGCUCUGGGGCGGGCCUUAGACCCUGCCUGGCACUUAAUGAGCCAUGUGAUCUCGUGGCUCAGCUGCCUCUGAACCUCAGUUCCCUGGUCUGUGGAUAAUCAGAUAUAGAACCGUAUAGAAGGGAUGCGGGGCUGACUUUUAUUUCAUGUGAGGGUUAAAUGAAAGAAUUGAAGUAAAGUAUUCAGCACAGUUUCCUGGCACAUAAGCCUUAAAUAACAAAUAUUAUCAACAUUGAGUAGCAUUUGGUCCUACAUCAGUCAUAGAAUCUUCAACUUUUAGGACUGAAAAGGAAACCGAAGUCCUGUAGGCCAACCUUCCCUCCCCACUCCCAAUUUGAUUAUGAAAUCCUCUAUUCAGCCUUUGACUUUGCUAGCAGACCUUUUGUGAUGGGGCAGCUCACAGCUCUUGGGGAAUCCCUGCCUUCUUUGGGCCAUUCUGUAAAUGUCAAGGAAGAGCUCUGUGUACAUGUGUGAUGUAUUUAAACUGCUUUCCAGUUGCAGGGAACAGGAAGCCUUUCCCUAUUCCCUAUUCAGGUACAAUAAUGUAGGCUGCUAGGGAACAAGAUCGAACAAUUGGAGAAGGCUUUUGUGGCUAACUCAGUGACGUACUUGCAGGUGAGGGUUCCAGACUCCAGAGUCUCCCUUUACCUAGUUCUUGGGAGUCUAGUGCAGCUGAAGACGAGGUACUGCGGAUGAAGAGGAAGACGAGGUACUGCGGAUGAAGAGAAACCCAGAUGAUCCAGGCACAUUUUAUAGACAAGGCCUCAACGACCCCAAAGGAACCUUUGAAAUCACCCUUUUCCUGGGUUCACGACGACUUGUAAACGAUACCAUCCAUCCCUGCUUAUUCAUAGUUAUUAAAUACCAGAAUAAAGAGAUUAGAGCUCAUGAGGUGCUUCGUCCCCAUCACUCGGGCUGCUUGGCUGCAUUUAUGAUGAGAAGGCUCUGGGUGUUUAAUAAAGUAUCUGAUAUGUCUAAUAAAAUCCUCCCAUGGCCCUGCUGAUGUUACUAUAAUAGCUUCAUGUCACAUGCUCUUGUGCUAUUGAGCCAGUACCAGAACAUAUUUUAAAUUCUUAUUAUGUCUAUUUAAUUUUUAUUUAAAGGAAAUUUUCAAGGUUUAAAGCAGGUACCGAGGUACCUAGGUGUGAAGACCUAGAAAUGUGCUGUAAUAUUUAUCAAAAUAGUAAUGGAGUGAUUUAAGGAUAGUAUAGGAAUAAGCAACUGUGCAUUCGUGGCUUAUCUAGUUAUAGAUCUGUACUGUUCCCCUAAGAACUGCAAUUUGUGAAAUAAUGGCUUCUCAUUGUUAUGCCACAUCUAUUUAUAAAAAGCUGAGUUUAUUCUCAGUGCUCAGUAGUUUUUUUUUGUUUUUUUUUUUUGAGACAGAGUCUCCCUCUGUUGACCAGACUGGAGCACAGUGGUGCGAUCUCGGUUCACUGCAAUCUCCGCCUCCCCGGUUCAAGCAAUUCUUAUGUCUCAGCUUCCUGAAUAGCUAGGAUUAUAGGCGUGAGCCACUACGCCAGGCCUCAGUACUUAAAAGAUUUUAUCUUACUUUAAUGAUAUAUUUUAUAUAAGCUUCUGGAAGGUUAGAGCAGGAUUGGACCUUAGAACUUAAUUUGACCAAUUCCUUCCUGACAGUAAUGACAAAAUUGAGGCCCAGAGAGGGGAAGGAAUUUGCCCAAGGUCAUACACGUAAUAAAGGCAGAACUGGGAUUCAAGCCUAGAUUUUUACACUUCAUGCUCUUGCUACCAUAAUAAGAAGCCCUUAAAAUACCUAUACGUACCUGGCUUUCAUAUACACACCUCCAUGAGAGGGAGGCAACGUGUACACGUAAACAUGCUUGUGACAAGGGAAUUGGCAGUGAUAGCUGUUGUCACUGGCCGCCAGGACCCACAUGGCCUAUCUGGUUGCUUAGGUGGCUGUUCUCUUUCCUCUCUCCCUCUUCCUCUUGAGUCCAGGUGUAACUAAGGCAUUAUAAAAAACAGACAAACCUUGACAUCGGAAGAGCUGACUUUCUUUUUU